rnacentral:rRNA from 1 species
GACGAACGCUGGCGGCGUGCCUAAUACAUGCAAGUAGAACGCUGAAGGAGGAGCUUGCUUCUCUGGAUGAGUUGCGAACGGGUGAGUAACGCGUAGGUAACCUGCCUGGUAGCGGGGGAUAACUAUUGGAAACGAUAGCUAAUACCGCAUAAGAGUAGAUGUCGCAUGACAUUUGCUUAAAAGGUGCAAUUGCAUCACUACCAGAUGGACCUGCGUUGUAUUAGCUAGUUGGUGAGGUAACGGCUCACCAAGGCAACGAUACAUAGCCGACCUGAGAGGGUGAUCGGCCACACUGGGACUGAGACACGGCCCAGAGUCAUACGGGAGGCAGCAGUAGGGAAUCUUCGGCAAUGGACGGAAGUCUGACCGAGCAACGCCGCGUGAGUGAAGAAGGUUUUCGGAUCGUAAAGCUCUGUUGUAAGAGAAGAACGAGUGUGAGAGUGGAAAGUUCACACUGUGACGGUAUCUUACCAGAAAGGGACGGCUAACUACGUG